rnacentral:rRNA from 1 species
UACGUAGGGGGCAAGCGUUGUCCGGAAUCAUUGGGCGUAAAGAGCGUGUAGGCGGCCCGAUAAGUCCGCUGUGAAAGUCCAGGGCUCAACCCUGGAAUGCCGGUGGAUACUGUCGGGCUCGAAUCCGGAAGAGGUGAGUGGAAUUCCGGGUGUAGCGGUGGAAUGCGUAGAGAUCCGGAAGAACACCGGUGGCGAAGGCGGCCCGCUGGGCAGUUGCUGACACUGAGGCGCGACAGCGUGGGGAGCAAACAGG